rnacentral:rRNA from 1 species
AACGAACGCUGGCGGCAUGCCUAACACAUGCAAGUCGAACGAGACCUUCGGGUCUUUUGGCGCACGGGUUCGUAACGCGUGGGAACCUUCCCUUAGGGUCGGAAUAACUCCCCGACAGGGGUGCUAAUACCGGAUAAGAUCUUCGGACCAAAGAUUUAUCGCCUUUGGUUGGGCCCGCGUUGGAUUAGCUAGUUGGUAGGGUAAAAGCCUACCAAGGGGACGAUCCAUAGCUUGUCUGAGAGGAUGCUCAGCAACACUGGGAGUGAGACACGGCCCAGACUCCUACGGGAGGCAGCAGUGGGGAAUAGUGGAAACUGGGCGUAAGCCUGAUCCAGCAAUGCAGCGUGAGUGAUGAAGGCCUUAGGGUUGUAAAGCUCUUUUACCCGGGAUGAUAAUGACAGUACCGGGAGAAUAAGCCCCGGCUAACUCCGUG